UCUCUCCUUAUUUUGAUUCUUAUUUAUACUAUUUUUCUCUUUUAACAAACUAUAACCAACAAUUUUCCUUACACGUAUCUAGCUUACUCCUUACCCUUCUUACACGUGUCUAACUUACUUCCUAUUUAUUCUUCCUCGUAAACCUUUAAUGAUCUAACAUUACCCUCCUCCCUAACAUCAACCUUAUCCUCAAGGUUGAGAUUAGGGAACUGGUGGAUAUAGUGCUUCUCCUCCCAAGUAACCCCUUCCAAACCACCUUUUUGCCAUUGUAUUAAGACUUGGGGUAUCUUCUUCUCGUGUGAUUGUUGGUUCCUCGUUGUAGCACCUUCAGAGGGAUGUUCGUGUGUCUGUCCCUUUGCAAUUCAGUUGGUAAAGCUCCCUCUACCUGAUGGUUUCUUACAACUAUGAUCCUUUUGCUAUUAUUCAAAUCUUGAUAUGCUCCUUCUUGGCUAAGAAGGUGCAAUUUCUCCACUUCUUCAGAAAAAGUUUCAUUUUUGUGGCUUUCCUUCCUUAAAAGCAUCUGAUAGUCUGCUAACUGGUUGUCUAUGGCAGCCUUUAGUGAAGCGAGCUCGACUCUCAAAUCAUUGACUUGUCCAAGAAGCUCUUCCUUUUCAGUCUUCAAGUGCUUUAUGACCUCUUCUGUAGCAGACAAGCAAUUGGUGAAUUUAAGUUGUUGUUCUUCAUUAAGGUGGUCCAAAUCAGAUAGUUUCUUAGUCUUGACUUCGGUGUAUUUGUCAUAGAGCUUCGUGUACAAAACCUCUAUUGCACGCACAAACUGUACUGAGUUAAUUUGAAUUUGAAGUCUAUCUUCCUUCAAUGGAAUUCGAUGGUCUAUUUUCCUCUCAGGUGACAGUCCCUGGGGUUCUUGAAACACCCCUUUGAACUCUGUCAAAAUCUGUUGCCAUCCCGCUUCCUGCACUGGUGCUGGUCUCUCUGCUUCCCAGUCUCCCUUAGUCAUUUCUACUUGGCUUAAGCUCCCACCUAGAGGCAUGGUUUCUAUCUCCCUUUCCUUUAACAAUGCCUCAUGGAUAACCACUUUACAUGUCAAUGUUGGAUCUUCUUGAAUUUCUACUUCCUUUUCUUCUGACUCAAAUCGCAUAGUAAGUUCUCCCUAGUUUACCUUAGUUUCUCCCAAUCUUGCUAGCCAUGCCACCCCUAAUAUCACAUCUACUCCUCCUAAGUCAAAGAGGUAGAAUUUCUCUUUUACUUCCAGUCCUUCUAAAACUAAUGGAACCCCCCUUGAGCUAUUUUUUUCUGCCCAUCCUCCAAACUCACCUUGUAAGGUGGUGUCUCACUUAUUUCCAGUCCCAAUUCCCCAACUAGUCGAUUUGAAAUAAAAUUGUGGCUUGCGCCACUGUCGAUUAAUACUAGAACUCCUCUCCCUUGCACCCAUCCUUGUAAUUUCAUCAUGUUCGAAGGAGUGAGCCCUCUUGCCGACAACACGAACAACUCCAUGUUCUUCUGUUCCAAUUCUGGGAUGUCCUCCACUUCAUUUUCAUCAUCUCCCUUUGCCAAAAUCAUCACCUGUAGGCUUCUUUCAACGCACCUAUGGCCUGGACUGUAAGGUCCUCCACACUGGAAACAACAUCCUUCUUCUCGCCUUUUUAUAUACUCCGGAUAGGGUAAAGUUCUUACCCUUCGGCCUUGGUUGUUUCCCCCUCCACUGCUACCUACUUUGGAGCUCGUAUUAUUGGAGACGUCCUCCUUCUUCGAACCAUGCCCUCCACCAAUGUUCAUGGAUGCCUCCGGUGACCCUCGAUAUGUUUCCGCGACUGUCCCGGAACUCGCGGAGUAUCUUCCCCAUGUCACCCCUCCUUUUCCUCCUGUUCCGCCACUUCCUCGCAAUCCCGACCCAGCCUGUUCGACGUCUCGAGCUUGCUCCAUCGCUGGCAACAAAUCUUGUGGGUUGUACGACCUCACCAGAUUUCUCAGUCCUUCCUGCAACCCCGCAAAAAAAUAUCCUAGUAAUUGCUCCUCAUUCACUCUCGCUGCCUCUACCACCAAAAAUUCGAACUCCUGGAUGUACGCGUCGACGCUUCUCGUCUGUCGGCGGCCAAUUUCUCAUACACAAUGCCCCGGUUCAGUUCGCCGAACCUCCGCGUCAGCGCCUCUGUAAACAGCUUCCACGGUGGGUGUUUGGUUUUCUUCCUCCAGAAGCGAAACCAGUAGCUUGCACCUCCUUCCAUACAUAUAUAAACCAACUUCAUCUUCUCCUUCUCCGUUACGCUCUGGAUGUCGAAGAACUUUUCAGCCUUUGCGAUCCAACCCAUGGGGUCAGUACCUUCAAAAGUUGGUAGCUCAACGUGCUUCGUCCAGCUGCGUUGUACUUCGCUUCGGUCAUCUUCCGAUUCCUCCUCCGAACUCUCCGAUAAUCGUCGUUCUCGUUGGCCAUUGAUGGAAUUACGACCCGCUGCAGAGCUCCGAUUCGGUUCCUGGAGCGUCGCCCGAAAGCUCGUCGGAACUCAAGAGUCAUCUCCUGCACCUCCGCCUUCAACUCUUCCACUAUCGACUCUAUUGCCACCAUUCGUCCCUCCAUUCUUCUCCGCUACAGCUUCCUCGGAACAGAUCCGACAGGUCAGACCAAAUCUGUUAGGUUCCUUUUCACACACUCUCAACCAAAAAGAAGCAAUUGUAUAAAUAUAGCAAUUAUAUGAAUAUAAACUUUAUUAUUUUGUAAAGUAUAAAAGACCACAAAUAACAAGUAUUCCCCCAAGGAAGCCUCCCUUCCUCCACUAGAAACGAUCCAGUCUCUAUCCAAAGGGAUCCCUAUCCCCGAGUUCGCACCAAACAGAACUGCAUCCGCCAACUUAUCCCCCAAUCUCCUUUUAUCUCUGACGAGACAUGCAAAUAGACUCAGAAGGUAACUCAUCCAGGAAUCGAUCAAGAUUGUCACCUUCUUAUCCCAGUAAAAAGUCAUGUGCAUCAUUUUGGCUUUUCUGAACAACAGAAUAACUUAAAGUUUUCUUUCUUUAGUUUUUGAGAUUUUUGUUUGUGUUCUGAAUGUUAAAAAAUCAUAAGGAUAUCAACUUCUUAAGGAAAUGAAAAUCUUCUCAAAUUAAAAAUAUGGAUAUGUAUUUUUAUUUAAAGUUGAAAAAGAAAUCAAUUUACUUUUAAUUUUAUGCGUCAAAACAAUGUUUUUAUUUAUAAAUAGUUGAAAUUGAUUUUAUU